rnacentral:rRNA from 1 species
AAAUUGAAGAGUUUGAUCAUGGCUCAGAUUGAACGCUGGCGGCAGGCCUAACACAUGCAAGUCGAGCGGUAGCACAGAGAGCUUGCUCUCGGGUGACGAGCGGCGGACGGGUGAGUAAUGUCUGGGAAACUGCCUGAUGGAGGGGGAUAACUACUGGAAACGGUAGCUAAUACCGCAUAAUGUCGCAAGACCAAAGUGGGGGACCUUCGGGCCUCAUGCCAUCAGAUGUGCCCAGAUGGGAUUAGCUAGUAGGUGGGGUAACGGCUCACCUAGGCGACGAUCCCUAGCUGGUCUGAGAGGAUGACCAGCCACACUGGAACUGAGACACGGUCCAGACUCCUACGGGAGGCAGCAGUGGGGAAUAUUGCACAAUGGGCGCAAGCCUGAUGCAGCCAUGCCGCGUGUGUGAAGAAGGCCUUCGGGUUGUAAAGCACUUUCAGCGGGGAGGAAGGCGUUAAGGUUAAUAACCUUGGCGAUUGACGUUACCCGCAGAAGAAGCACCGGCUAACUCCGUGCCAGCAGCCGCGGUAAUACGGAGGGUGCAAGCGUUAAUCGGAAUUACUGGGCGUAAAGCGCACGCAGGCGGUCUGUCAAGUCGGAUGUGAAAUCCCCGGGCUCAACCUGGGAACUGCAUUCGAAACUGGCAGGCUAGAGUCUUGUAGAGGGGGGUAGAAUUCCAGGUGUAGCGGUGAAAUGCGUAGAGAUCUGGAGGAAUACCGGUGGCGAAGGCGGCCCCCUGGACAAAGACUGACGCUCAGGUGCGAAAGCGUGGGGAGCAAACAGGAUUAGAUACCCUGGUAGUCCACGCCGUAAACGAUGUCGAUUUGGAGGUUGUGCCCUUGAGGCGUGGCUUCCGGAGCUAACGCGUUAAAUCGACCGCCUGGGGAGUACGGCCGCAAGGUUAAAACUCAAAUGAAUUGACGGGGGCCCGCACAAGCGGUGGAGCAUGUGGUUUAAUUCGAUGCAACGCGAAGAACCUUACCUGGUCUUGACAUCCACAGAACUUAGCAGAGAUGCUUUGGUGCCUUCGGGAACUGUGAGACAGGUGCUGCAUGGCUGUCGUCAGCUCGUGUUGUGAAAUGUUGGGUUAAGUCCCGCAACGAGCGCAACCCUUAUCCUUUGUUGCCAGCGGUUCGGCCGGGAACUCAAAGGAGACUGCCAGUGAUAAACUGGAGGAAGGUGGGGAUGACGUCAAGUCAUCAUGGCCCUUACGACCAGGGCUACACACGUGCUACAAUGGCAUAUACAAAGAGAAGCGACCUCGCGAGAGCAAGCGGACCUCAUAAAGUAUGUCGUAGUCCGGAUUGGAGUCUGCAACUCGACUCCAUGAAGUCGGAAUCGCUAGUAAUCGUAGAUCAGAAUGCUACGGUGAAUACGUUCCCGGGCCUUGUACACACCGCCCGUCACACCAUGGGAGUGGGUUGCAAAAGAAGUAGGUAGCUUAACCUUAGGGAGGGCGCUUACCACUUUGUGAUUCAUGACUGGGGUGAAGUCGUAACAAGGUAACCGUAGGGGAACCUGCGGUUGGAUCACCUCCUUA